rnacentral:rRNA from 1 species
GAUGAACGCUGGCGGCGUGCAUAACACAUUCAAGUCGAACGGAGUUAUUUCAAUUAAUCCUUCGGGAAGCGUUGAGAUAACUUAGUGGCGGACGGGUGAGUAACGCGUGAGAAACCUGCCUCUCAGUGGGGGACAACAGUUGGAAACGACUGCUAAUACCGCAUAACACUUUAGUACCGCAUGGUACAGAAGUCAAAGCUUAAUGUGCUGAGAGAUGGUCUCGCGUCUGAUUAGCUAGAUGGCGGGGUAACGGCCCACCAUGGCGACGAUCAGUAGCCGGUCUGAGAGGAUGAACGGCCACAUUUGGGGACUGAGAUACGGCCCAGACUCCUACGGGAGGCAGCAGUUGGGGGAAUAAUUUCGGGCGAAUAGGGGGGAAACCCGUACGACCCACGCAACGCCGCGUGAAGGAAGAAGGCCUCGGUU